CCUACGGGAGGCAGCAGUGGGGAAUUUUCCGCAAUGGGCGAAAGCCUGACGGAGCAACGCCGCGUGAGGGAUGAAGGCCUCUGGGCUGUAAACCUCUUUUCUCAAGGAAGAAGAUCUGACGGUACUUGAGGAAUAAGCCACGGCUAAUUCCGUGCCAGCAGCCGCGGUAAUACGGGAGUGGCAAGCGUUAUCCGGAAUUAUUGGGCGUAAAGCGUCCGCAGGCGGCCCUUCAAGUCUGCUGUUAAAACGUGGAGCUUAACUCCAUCAUGGCAGUGGAAACUGUUGGGCUUGAGUGUGGUAGGGGCAGAGGGAAUUCCCGGUGUAGCGGUGAAAUGCGUAGAUAUCGGGAAGAACACCAGUGGCGAAGGCGCUCUGCUGGGCCAUAACUGACGCUCAUGGACGAAAGCCAGGGGAGCGAAAGGGAUUAGGUACCCCUGUAGUCCUGGCCGUAAACGAUGAACACUAGGUGUCGGGGGAAUCGACCCCCUCGGUGUCGUAGCCAACGCGUUAAGUGUUCCGCCUGGGGAGUACGCACGCAAGUGUGAAACUCAAAGGAAUUGACGG
rnacentral:rRNA from 1 species